UCAUAAAAUUGGACUCACUAAUAUGGCUCAGUAGCUUUUUCUUAUGAAAAUUAGUGGACCCUGUUAACAAGGUGGAGAAAGGGACUCACUCCUUAGAAAACAAUAACAUUAAGUAGUUUCAGUUGUAUUAUCUUCUAAAUUUAAAUUGUUUUAUGUUUAACGUUACAUUCUCUUUUUCUUUUUACUUUUUUUUUUUUUGGAUAAAGAAACAUGUCAUUGAUGAAUGAAAAAAGUGGAAAACCCCAAAACACCUAAUUUUUUUCUAUUACACUUUUGUUGACCCAGGAAAUUAAAAUACUGUCACAUUCUCACAGUUUCUUAGCUGUAGUUGUUGAGACAAUCACAUGGGUAAAACGAGGUUGUCAAUUUAGUAUAAAGAGAAAAUCUUUAAGGUUUGGGAGAAAGGAUAUAGGUUGUUCAUUUGGUCCUUAUUUUCUAUUCACUGUUGAGCUGGGCUUGGCAUUGUCUUGUGACAAAUUUGGAAGACUUAGUGUUCCUAGUGCCAGAAUAUUUUUCUGUAAUAUGGGCACGCCAGCUAGUUCGGUGGUUGGGCUAUUUGAAGUUGUUAGAAUUAGUACUUUUGUAAAGAAUAAAAUAUAAGAUUUUAUUUCCUAAAUAUUUCCUAAAUCUUUUCCUUUCUUAUUCCUAUUUUACACUAUUUAUUCUCCCUUUGUACCUAUUGUUUUUGUUCAUAAGAAAAAUAAUAAAAACUAAAGUAUCGUGGUUUUUCUCCCGGUUCUCGGGUUUCCACGUAAGUCUCGGGUUGUUGUUAAUUGCUUUCAAUAUGGUAUCAGAGCAAAGCAAUAACGAAACCCUAGAAAAUAACCUAGGAGAAACCCAGAUCGAAACUGAACACGUCGCCGCCGCCGCCGCCAUGGAGAAAUUGCUCCAGAACCUACAGAAACCGCCGAUCUACCCAACGGGAGUGGUUCCGCAGCCGUACGCACCGCCGUCUGACCAGAAGAUGAUUCACGCGCCGCUCGUGUCCGGCGCGUGGGCCCACGCGCUGCCGCCGUUUCACGUCACCGCCCAUCCCAUUCCCUUCUACGCGCUGUCGGAUGUCCAACCGUCAAACCCUUCCGACCAUCCGCAUCCUCACGCGCCGUCUAUGAGCUCCGGACAGCAACCCUCAACCGUAAAUCUGUCAAAUCAGUACAGUAAGCAGCAGCUGUACGUUGACUCUUUACAGCAACCGCUGUUUUCUGGUAACAGAAUUGAUCAACCCCAAAACAGAUCGGACAUUGAAGCGGGCGAAUCUUCAACGCAUUCCAAACCAACUGAGUUGCCGAUGUAUUCCAAGAACCCGGUAACUUCGUUCCCUAAUUCACAGUCAAAUUAUAUAACUGGCUCUUUGGGUUCGUCUGCAGGGAAUUUUUCAGGCGAAAAAUUAAAUGGUCAAAGUUAUUUUUCUUGGUCCCAAUCAAUAAAGAUGUUCCUCGAAGGUCGAUACCAGUUCGGCUUCUUAACUGGAGAGACUGUACGUCCUCCACCAGGAGACGCCUUGGAACGACUCUGGAAAGGAGAGGACUCACUUAUUCGGUCCAUGCUGAUUAAUAGUAUGGAACCACAGAUCGGCAAGCCUCUACUAUAUGCAGCCACAACAAAAGAUUUGUGGGAUAUAACUCAGACCCUUUACUCGAAACGACAGAAUGCCUCUCGGUUAUAUACACUGCGAAAACAGGUCCAUAAUUGCAAACAAGGGACCCUGGACGUAACUACCUAUUUUAACAAGCUCUCUCUCCUCUGGCAAGAGAUGGAUUUGUGCAGAGAGACAGUUUGAGACACACCAAAUGACAGUACACAAUAUGCUAAACUUGAAGAGGCUGACCGUGUUUAUGACUUCCUUGCAGGACUUAAUCCCAAAUUUGAUAAUGUUUGUGGUCGUAUACUCGGACAAAGACCUCUUCCCUCCCUAAUGGAAGUUUGUUUUGAUGUCCGCCUGGAAGAGGAUCGCACUAAUGCCAUGGGUGUAUUGACUACCCCUACCAUUGACUCCGCUGCCUUUAGCUCUCGGUCCUCAAAUCAUGACAGUGACAAGAAUAAUGGGAAGUCAAUUCCUGUGUGUGAGCACUGCAAGAAACAAUGGCACACCAAGGAUCAGUGUUGGAAACUCCACGGUUGUCCCCCAGGAGGUAAGAAACGGUCCUCCAACGAGAAACAGAACUCAGGACGUGCCUACAUUAGUGAGACUACACCUGCUAGCACUUCUCAAUCAACUGAUCCUACUGCGAGCCAGACCAAGACUCCGACUCUGGGUGCCAUUGCUCAGUCAGGACAUGAGCUCGGGGAGGACGAUUGGCACUGUCCGGCAUAGCAGGGGACUUUACAUCCUUGAUGAUGAUACCUCAUGUAGUAGUUUGUCUAGGCCGUGAUGCAAUCGGACGGGUUCGAUUAUCUCAAAGAAAGCUGCCCUGCUGUUCUUACUGAGCUACUGCAAUAUGUAGCAAGAGUUACCGAACACAAUGUCCUUACUUCUGGGUUUGGAAAUUUGACCUUUUUAGAUGGCAG